rnacentral:lncRNA from 1 species
AGCUUGCCACCUUCUCACAUGGCCACUUCAAGCAGAGUUACUCUAAUCUUUGUUGCUGCAUUGUUAUUCCAUUUUCUGCCAUUGGAGGCAAGAAAGCUGGCAGUGAUGGAGAAGGGUUUAAGAACCUUUCAUGGUGAAAGUGUAGACCUUUCGAAGACUACUGAUCGAGUGUUGCAGUCAGUUACAAGUCCUGGAAUUGGUGAUUAUCGUGUGUUGCAAUCAGUUCCAAGCCCUGGAAAUGGCCAUUAUGAAGUUUGGCGACCAGUUACAAGCCCUGUAGUUGAGAAGAGCCGUCAUUUGCAUUCUGUUCCAGGCCAUGAAAUUGGCAACUAGAGUAUCUUUCUUUUGGUGAAGUUCUUCUGUAAUUUGAAUAGCCAAGUAUAUGUUGUGAAAAAAUGUCCUAGCUAAAAUUUCUUACACGUACCUUGUGAUUUAAGUUGGGCUGUGUUAUUGUACUUCUAAUUUGUGUCUAGUAAUUUACAAGUUGAACAUUAAUUUUUCUAC